rfam:Otolemur garnettii contig021476, whole genome shotgun sequence.
GUGCUUACUUUUGCAGCACAUAUACUAAAAUUGGAAUGAUACAGAGAAGAUUAACAUGACCUCUGUGCAAGUAUGACAAGCAAAUUCAAAAAAAUAAAAUAACAUAAU